GACGAACGCUGGCGGCGUGCUUAACACAUGCAAGUCGAACGGAAAGGCCCUGCUUUUGUGGGGUGCUCGAGUGGCGAACGGGUGAGUAACACGUGAGUAACCUGCCCUUGACUUUGGGAUAACUUCAGGAAACUGGGGCUAAUACCGGAUAGGAGCUCCUGCUGCAUGGUGGGGGUUGGAAAGUUUCGGCGGUUGGGGAUGGACUCGCGGCUUAUCAGCUUGUUGGUGGGGUAGUGGCUUACCAAGGCUUUGACGGGUAGCCGGCCUGAGAGGGUGACCGGCGACAUUGGGACUGAGAGACGGAGCAGACGCCUACGGGAGGCAGCAGUGGGGAAUAUGGCACAAUGGGCGGAAGCCUGAUGCAGCAACGCCGCGUGCGGGAUGACGGCCUUCGGGGGGUAAACCGCUUUCGCCUGUGACGAAGCGUGAGUGACGGUAAUGGGUAAAGAAGCACCGGCUAACUACGUG
rnacentral:rRNA from 1 species